UACGUAGGGGGCAAGCGUUGUCCGGAAUUAUUGGGCGUAAAGAGCGCGUAGGCGGUCCGCUAAGUCGGAUGUGAAAGUCAGGGGCUCAACCCUUGAAAGCCGGCCGAUACUGUCGGACUAGAGUCCGGAAGAGGCAAGUGGAAUUCCCGGUGUAGCGGUGAAAUGCGCAGAUAUCGGGAGGAACACCAAUGGCGAAGGCAGCUUGCUGGGCCGGUACUGACGCUGAGGCGCGAAAGCGUGGGGAGCAAACAGG
rnacentral:rRNA from 1 species